GAUGAACGCUGGCGGCGUGCCUAAUACAUGCAAGUCGAGCGAACGGACGAGAAGCUUGCUUCUCUGAUGUUAGCGGCGGACGGGUGAGUAACACGUGGAUAACCUACCUAUAAGACUGGGAUAACUUCGGGAAACCGGAGCUAAUACCGGAUGAUAUUUUGAACCGCAUGGUUCAAAAGUGAAAGACGGUCGUGCUGUCACUUAUAGAGGGAUCCGCGCUGCAUUAGCUAGUUGGUAAGGAAACGGCUUACCAAGGCAACGAUGCAUAGCCGACCUGAGAGGGUGAUCGGCCGCACUGGAACUGAGACACGGUCCAUACUCCUACGGGAGGCAGCAGUAGGGAAUCUUCCGCAAUGGGCGAAAGCCUGACGGAGCAACGCCGCGUGAGUGAUGAAGGUCUUCGGAUCGUAAAACUCUGUUAUUAGGGAAGAACAUAUGUGUAAGUAACUGUGCACAUCUUGACGGUACCUAAUCAGAAAGCCACGGCUAACUUCGUG
rnacentral:rRNA from 1 species